rnacentral:tRNA from 1 species
CGGAGUGUAGCUCAGCCUGGUAGAGCACUGCCUUCGGGAGGCAGGGGACGCAGGUUCAACUUCUGUCACUCCGAC